UACGUAGGCAGCAAGCGUUGUUCGGAGUUACUGGGCGUAACGAGUGCGUAGGUGGUGCCCUAAGUCUGUUGUGAAAUCUCCCGGCUUAACUGGGAGGGUGCGGUGGAAACUGGGGUGCUUGAGUGUGGGAGAGGUAAGCGGAAUUCCUGGUGUAGCGGUGAAAUGCGUAGAUAUCGGGAGGAACACCUGUGGCGAAAGCGGCUCACUGGACCACAACUGACGCUGAGGCGCGAAAGCUAGGGGAGCAAACAGG
rnacentral:rRNA from 1 species